rnacentral:rRNA from 1 species
GACGAACGCUGGCGGCGUGCUUAACACAUGCAAGUCGAACGGAAAGGCCCUGCCUUUGUGGGGUGCUCGAGUGGCGAACGGGUGAGUAACACGUGAGUAACCUGCCCUUGACUUUGGGAUAACUUCAGGAAACUGGGGCUAAUACCGGAUAGGAGCUCCUGCUGCAUGGUGGGGGCUGGAAAGUUUCGGCGGUUGGGGAUGGACUGGCGGCUUAUCAGCUUGCUGGUGGGGUAGUGGCUUACCAAGGCUUUGACGGGUAGCAGGCCUGGGAGGGUGACCGGCCACAUUGCAACUGAGAUACGGCCCAGACUCCUACGGUAGGCAGGAGUGGGGAGUAUUGCACAAUGGGCUGAAGCCUGAUGCAGUGACGCCGCGUGCGGGAUGACGGCCUUCGGGUUGUAAACCGCAUUCGCCUGUGACGAAGCGUGAGUGACGGUAAUGGAUAAAGAAGCACCGGCUAACUACGUG